GACGAACCGUGCGAACGUUGUUCGGAAUCACUGGGCUUAAAGGGCGCGUAGGCGGCUCUGCCAGUCUCGGGUGAAAUCUUUCGGCUCAACCGGAAACGUGCCUGGGAUACUGCAGAGCUGGAGGGAGGUAGGGGCGGACGGAACUUCCGGUGGAGCGGUGAAAUGCGUUGAUAUCGGAAGGAACGCCGGUGGCGAAAGCGGCUCACUGGACCACAACUGACGCUGAGGCGCGAAAGCUAGGGGAGCAAACAGG
rnacentral:rRNA from 1 species